GACCUGAAAGGUGGUGAACUCUGCCUGGGCAGGGCAAAGCGUAAAUAAACUCUUUUGGAGGUCCGUAUUUCUUUUGAUUUGCAUAUCUACCCUCCAACCUGACUGCAGGAUCAAAAGACUAAUCUAACUGCCUAUUAUCUGG
rnacentral:ncRNA from 1 species